CCUACGGGAGGCAGCAGUGGGGAAUAUUGGGCAAUGGACGCAAGCCUGACCCAGCAACGCCGCGUGAAGGAAGAAGGCUUUCGGGUUGUAAACUUCUUUUGACAGGGACGAGUAGGAGACUGUACCUGUCGAAUAAGCCACGUCUAACUACGUGCCAGCAGCCGCUGUAAUACGUAGGGGGCAAGCGUUGGCCGGAUUUACUGGGUGUAAAGGGCGUGUAGGCGGGUGGACAAGUCAGAUGUGAAAUCCUGCGGCUUAACCGCGGAACUGCAUUUGAAACUGUUGCUCUUGAGUACUGGAGAGGCAGGCGGAAUGCCUGGUGUAGCGGUGAAAUGCGUAGAUAUUAGGAGGAACACCAGUGGCGAAGGCGGUCUGCUGGACAGCAACUGACGGUGAGGCGCGAAAGCGUGGGGAGCAAACAGGAUUAGAUACCCCAGUAGUC
rnacentral:rRNA from 1 species